GCUAACGAUUACUUUAAGGCAGGUUACGUCACGUAUGACGUUGCCGCCUCGUCCGUCCAAUCACAACAGCGCCCGCUGACUGACAGCGGUCCAGACGAAACAAAUACACGUCCGCGUUUUCUUUCGUCCAAUCAUCGCGCCGCUCCCGCCCUGACGCGGAAGUGACCUGUGCUUUGUGGUCUUCACUCAUCCGCGCACGUGCGCGCGAGAGAGUGAACGAAGAGCCAAAACACAGCCGAUCUCAACUUUAUACGGGCGGAGAGCGGGUUGAGCUCAGGUCACAGAUCAUCAUCUGUGUGAGCAUGCGCACUGGAGCACAGCUGCUGUGUGUCUGAGAGAUGCGCGGCGCGCACGCGUCCAGCGGAGAGGCACGGGUGCGCGCUGAAGCGGCAGAGGGCGGCAGCGCUGCAGUGAAGUCCUCAGUCCUGACAACAGCAGCAGCAAUGACAAGAUAACUCCAGAGAGCUGAUGGAGAGAUGGAGGCUGAGGUUUGAGGACAGAGGCCUUCCAGUGCUGAUCUCAGGCCACAGCUCGUCCAGCCCACGCGGAGCGCCGGUGAGUCAUUGUGAUGCUCCACACAGAAACACAUGCUUCAGAUCGAGUGUGUGUGAGGGUGAAACGUCCCCUACAGUGUGUGAAAGGCCUUGGCGUGCUUCAGAUCAUGAGAAACUCACACACAUCUGUUGUUUUUGUACUGUGUUUGCUGGCAGCGCAGGCUUUAAUAAUGAACAGAAAACCAAACAUGUACGGUUGUGUUUGUGAUGUUGUAAUGUUGAGCAUGUGCCCUCUCAGUGCUGUUGUGUAAUCAGAUCUGUGAUCGUGCUGCUGAUGUAUCAGUGAGAGUCUCUCCUGCGGAGCCGCUGGAGCCGCUCGUGUCCGACGCUGUGGCUAGAGAGAGCGUGAGAGUGAGACGCGGCGCUAACAAUCCUUCCCUCGUGUCCUCACCGCUCGCUCUUCACAUUUACAGCAGCGCUUCACACAACUGAGCGAUUCUUGCCUCAUUAACUCAUUCACGUGUCACUCCAAACCUGUGUGAGUUUCUUUCUUCUGUGGAACUUAUAAGGAGAUAUUUAGCUGAAUGUUCAAGCUGCUCAUUUCCAUACAACAGUAGAUUAAAGUGAUCAUAUCCAUCAGGCUCCAAAAAUUAGAAAAAAACACUUAAAAAAUCAUCAGAAUUUCAGUCUGUUUUUCACUCAAAGCAUCACAUGACUUCUGAAGCCAUGUGACUAUAUUUAUGGUGGGGUUUAUUUUUUAAAAAAAGUUCUUUUUUUUUUUGAUUUUUAUUAAUACUGUUAACUGGUUAAAAAUUGAAACUGUUCAUUGAAAUGUAGCUGAAGUACAAAUACAUAUUAAAAAAAAACUACCUGAUGAGCCUGAAUAAGUCAUGGCAGAAUAUUCAUUUUUAGAUUAAACGUUCCUAUAGUAAUAAAAGAAAAAUGACAUUCUUUAUGCUUCUCACUAUUCGUGUCUCAUACUGUUUUUGUGUAUGUUUGGUGUUGUAAAUGUGUCUGUGUGUGUGAGAGAGAGAUAGAGAGUGUGUGUGUGUGUGUGUGUGUGUGUGCAUGUGUA